CCGGCGACCGGCGCACGGUGAGUAACACGUAUGCAACCUGGCCGCCACAGGGGGAUAACCCGCGGAAACGCGGCCUAAUACCCCGUGACGCCACCGAGGGCAUCCUCCGGUGGCCAAAGGAGCGAUCCGGUGGCGGAUGGCAUGCGGCGCAUUAGCUAGACGGCGGGGUGACGGCCCACCGUGGCGACGAUGCGUAGGGGUUCUGAGAGGAAGGCCCCCCCACACUGGGACUGAGACACGGCCCAGACUCCUACGGGAGGCAGCAG
rnacentral:rRNA from 1 species